UUUUUUUUUUUUUUUUUUUUUAUCUCUGAAACAGGGUCUCGCUCUGUCACCCAGGCUGGAGUGCAGUGGUGCAAUUGCAGCUCACUGCAGCCUCUGCCUUCCAGGUUCAAGUGAUUCUCGUGCCUCAGCCUCCUGAGUAGCUGGAAUUACAGGCAUGCGCCACCACACCCAGCUAAUUUUUGUGCUUUAGUAGAGACAGGGUUUCGCCAGGUUGGCCAAGCUGGUCUCAAACUCCUGGCCUCAAGUGAUCCACCUGCCUCAGCCUCCCAAAGGGCUGGGAUUACAGGCAUGAGCCACUGUGCCCGGCCUCCGUGUGUCAUUUCUAAUUGCUGGAAGGAGAGUAGAGUUGGCACUGUUAUGGGAAGCCACUGAAUGGACCUGCUGCUUUUACCAUUUGAGUGGAAUACAGACAAUUCCUCCCUCCCCAGCCUGCUCACCCUGGUCCUUCUCAUUCUGUCAAAGGAGAGGAUAAUUGAGGUCUCCCUGGCUUGCAAGAAACAUCAGGCCUGGCGAGAGUUGCUGUAUGAGGACAAAGUCUGAUUUCAGGAAGAGUCGACCUCUCCUCUGCCUUUGACAUCUUGCUUCCCUAGAUGAAGAAAGCUCCACAGCAGGUCAGGGGAAGUAUAGGGUAGACCCAGAAUGAGAAGUUUUUUGGUUUAUUAUUAUUACUGUUUUAUUUUUUGUUGUUCAUUUGUUUUGAGACGGAGUCUCACUGUAUUGCCCAGGCUGGAGUGCAGUGGUGCGAUCUUGGCUCACUGUAAGCUCUGCCUCCCGGGUUCACGCCAUUUUCCUGCCUCAGCCUCCUAAGUAGCUGGGACUACAGGCGCCCACCACCAUGCCCUGCUAAUUUUUUUGUAUUUUUAGUAGAGACAGGGUUUCACCGUGUUAGGCAGGAUGGUCUCAAACUCCUGACCUUGUGAUCUGCCCGCCUCAGCCUCCCAAAGUGCUGGGAUUACAGGCGUGAGCCACCGCGCCUGGCCUAUUAUUAUUAUUGUUAAUAGAGAUGGGGGUCUCACUAUGUUGCCCAGGCUGUUCUCGAACUCCUGGGCUCAAGCCUUUGCCUGCCUCUGCCUCCCAAAGUGCUGGGAUUAUAGGUGUAAGCCACCACACCCGGACAAGAAGUCUUUAGGAGCAGCUGCAAGACGCUGUGGCUUCCUGCCCUUCCUAAGCCAGGAGCAUGAUUUAACUGUAGGGACAAACAAACAAACAAACAGACAAAAAACACCAAUCACAGUUCUCCAUCUCUACAGAUAGACAGCAGCACACAUCCUCCCAACAAGAAGGAAUCUGUGAAAAUCUGGCUUUUCAUUUGGCAGAGUAAAACAGAUUGUUAGAACAACAAGGCACUGCUGAUUUUAUAUAGAUAUACUUAAGUGGACAAACUACUGCCGUGGAGGCAGAUUCCCAGGCAAAUUACCAAAAGGAAGUUAAACAUGAGCUUAGACAAUAAGAAAAUCUUGAGAUGAAGGUUUGACGUCACCAGGUGUUUCCAUUACCUCUCUCUUCCC
rnacentral:lncRNA from 1 species